GAGUAAUGUCUGGGAAACUGCCUGAUGGAGGGGGAUAACUACUGGAAACGGUAGCUAAUACCGCAUAACGUCGCAAGACCAAAGAGGGGGACCUUCGGGCCUCUUGCCAUCGGAUGUGCCCAGAUGGGAUUAGCUAGUAGGUGGGGUAAAGGCUCACCUAGGCGACGAUCCCUAGCUGGUCUGAGAGGAUGACCAGCCACACUGGAACUGAGACACGGUCCAGACUCCUACGGGAGGCAGCAGUGGGGAAUAUUGCACAAUGGGCGCAAGCCUGAUGCAGCCAUGCCGCGUGUAUGAAGAAGGCCUUCGGGUUGUAAAGUACUUUCAGCGGGGAGGAAGGGAGUAAAGUUAAUACCUUUGCUCAUUGACGUUACCCGCAGAAGAAGCACCGGCUAACUCCGUGCCAGCAGCCGCGGUAAUACGGAGGGUGCAAGCGUUAAUCGGAAUUACUGGGCGUAAAGCGCACGCAGGCGGUUUGUUAAGUCAGAUGUGAAAUCCCCGGGCUCAACCUGGGAACUGCAUCUGAUACUGGCAAGCUUGAGUCUCGUAGAGGGGGGUAGAAUUCCAGGUGUAGCGGUGAAAUGCGUAGAGAUCUGGAGGAAUACCGGUGGCGAAGGCGGCCCC
rnacentral:rRNA from 1 species